CUCAGGAAGUUUAAUGACUCUGAAUCAAGAGCACUUCUGUGAAAGACUUGUUAUAAAAUAUGCUAGUGGAAUCUUUAAUUGAAGAUAACAAUUGUCAUUCUAAUAGAUCAUAGCCCACUUACAUUGAGACUGUACAGAAACUUCCUACUGCAGAGACAGCCAGGCCAGAGACAACUCUAUUAGCACAAAGGACACUCCUGCAAAUUGCAGAGGCUUUUUCAGUGCACACGGGGUGGAGAGGACACAGCCCUCCCACCAGAGAGCCAGCCAACACUUCAGUAGCUUCCACUGCCAGUUCUGUAUCAGCCAUGGAGUAGGUGGGGUCUAUUUUUCACUUUUAACAUCUUGCUUGCUGAGUUUUCAGUUUGCCUUUCGUGCUUUGUGCCAGCUUUUUUUCUCAGUUUCCCAGCUUCUGGCUGCUGUUGCAGCUCGAUGGAGUCUCCCUGUGCUCGCUCUUUCCCAAACUUUCUGGCUCUGGAGGAAGAUGAGAGCUUCUCUGUUACUUUUCUCUUCUGCAGGACUUACUAAGAGAGUGACUAGUUGCUGUAUUAGUUGAUUAUUGUUCAGAGAGGUGCAGGCCAGGAAACACUUUUCUUGGAGACUAGAACUCGCUUAGGA
rnacentral:lncRNA from 12 species